rfam:Alligator sinensis unplaced genomic scaffold scaffold97_1, whole genome shotgun sequence
AUACUUAUCUGGCAGGGGAGAUACUAUGAUCAACAAAGUGAUUUCCCAGGGCAAAACUUGCCCCUUACACUCUGGGCAUGCUAACCCCUGCAAUUUCCCCAAAUUCUGGGAAAUCAGCUGCAUAAUUUUGUGGUAAUGGGGGACUGCAUUCUAGCUUUCCCUCU